CUGCAUGUUUACAUCUGGGCCCAAUUUCAUGGAAUCCGUAACGCCGAAUUUUGUGCUAACGACCCGCAAUUUUGUGCUAACCGAGCUAGCACAAAAAUUCUGUGCUAACCUUGUAAGCACAG